rnacentral:rRNA from 1 species
CGAGUGGCGAACGGGUGAGUAACACGUGGAUAACCUGCCUCAAGGCUGGGGAUAACAUUUGGACUCAGAUGCUAAUACCGAAUAAAACUUAGUAUCGCAUGAUAUCAAGUUAAAAGGCGCUACGGCGUCACCUAGAGAUGGAUCCGCGGUGCAUUAGUUAGUUGGUGGGGUAAAGGCUUACCAAGACGAUGAUGCAUAGCCGAGUUGAGAGACUGAUCGGCCACAUUGGGACUGAGACACGGCCCAAACUCAUACGGGAGGCUGCAGUAGGGAAUCUUCCACAAUGGGCGCAAGCCUGAUGGAGCAACGCCGCGUGUGUGAUGAAGGCUUUCGGGUCGUAAAGCACUGUUGUAUGGGAAGAAAUGCUAAAAUAGGGAAUGAUUUUAGUUUGACGGUACCAUACCAGAAAGGGACGGCUAAAUACGUGCCAGCAGCCGCGGUAAUACGUAUGUCCCGAGCGUUAUCCGGAUUUAUUGGGCGUAAAGCGAGCGCAGACGGUUGAUUAAGUCUGAUGUGAAAGCCCGGAGCUCAACUCCGGAAUGGCAUUGGAAACUGGUUAACUUGAGUGUUGUAGAGGUAAGUGGAACUCCAUGUGUAGCGGUGGAAUGCGUAGAUAUAUGGAAGAACACCAGUGGCGAAGGCGGCUUACUGGACAACAACUGACGUUGAGGCUCGAAAGUGUGGGUAGCAAACAGGAUUAGAUACCCUGGUAGUCCACACCGUAAACGAUGAAUACUAGGUGUUAGGAGGUUUCCGCCUCUUAGUGCCGAAGCUAACGCAUUAAGUAUUCCGCCUGGGGAGUACGACCGCAAGGUUGAAACUCAAAGGAAUUGACGGGGACCCGCACAAGCGGUGGAGCAUGUGGUUUAAUUCGAAGCAACGCGAAGAACCUUACCAGGUCUUGACAUCCUUUGAAGCUUUUAGAGAUAGAAGUGUUCUCUUCGGAGACAAAGUGACAGGUGGUGCAUGGUCGUCGUCAGCUCGUGUCGUGAGAUGUUGGGUUAAGUCCCGCAACGAGCGCAACCCUUAUUGUUAGUUGCCAGCAUUCAGUUGGGCACUCUAGCGAGACUGCCGGUGACAAACCGGAGGAAGGCGGGGACGACGUCAGAUCAUCAUGCCCCUUAUGACCUGGGCUACACACGUGCUACAAUGGCGUAUACAACGAGUUGCCAACCUGCGAAGGUGAGCUAAUCUCUUAAAGUACGUCUCAGUUCGGACUGCAGUCUGCAACUCGACUGCACGAAGUCGGAAUCGCUAGUAAUCGCGGAUCAGCACGCCGCGGUGAAUACGUUCCCGGGUCUUGUACACACCGCCCGUCACACCAUGGGAGUUUGUAAUGCCCAAAGCCGGUGGCCUAA